CCGUGGGCUCUGGCUGCCGGAGUGCUGCAGUGUCGGCACUGGUGGUCAGGGUGGCCCCUCCGUGUCCACUCUGCCCACACUCUGCUCAACACCCAACCCAGGUGUCCUGGAGCCUGGACCACAAGAGCGCCCAUGCAGGCACCUAUGAGGUUAGAUUCUUCGACGAGGAGUCCUACAGCCUCCUCAGGAAGGCUCAGAGGAAUAACGAGGACAUUUCCAUCAUCCCGCCUCUGUUUACAGUCAGCGUGGACCAUCGGGGCACUUGGAACGGGCCCUGGGUGUCCACUGAGGUGCUGGCUGCGGCGAUCGGCCUUGUGAUCUACUACUUGGCCUUCAGUGCGAAGAGCCACAUCCAGGCCUGACGGCGGCACCCCAGCCCUGCCCUUGCUUCCUUCAAUAAACAUCACAGGACCUGGGACUGCACAGG
rnacentral:sRNA from 1 species